UAGCCAAUGGGAAAGACUCACAUGCACUAAAAUGCAUGCGUGGCCGGCCUGGCUAUGUCAAAAAAGCACAGAGAAGCUCGGAUCACAACACACACAGAGGGAGAGCGACUUUAAUUACUAAAUUUAACUGUAAAAUAAGAAACCAAAGUAUAUCAGUAUGAAGUUCCUUAACUCUCAUAUUGACAUAGUUUUAAACUAGCCUAUAUACUACAACAGCAUAACAGAUAUUCAGUUAUGGCUUUUGGUUUUGGUGUCAUCUGGCCCCCCCAAUGGAAAAUAUCUGGGGGCUCCACAGAGCACAACAUGAUUCGUCAAUAUGGUUUUCUAGAGUCAGUUUGUUUGCUAUAUGCAAGCUGUGCUGAAUAACAGUAAAACUAUUUACUGAGUGACUGUGGAGAGAAUUAGAGGUAGAAAACACUUCUGUACAGCACAGGACUGCUGCAGACGUAGGCGGGCCAGUUUCCAUAACAACCUGACAAAAAAAAAAAAAAAAAAGAUAUAAAAAAAACAAACAACUUCAGCUAAUUUAUUCUUGAAGUUUGGGUGCAAGAAAGCAAGUCUGCUCAUCUAUUUGUGCUAUUGAUAUAGAGAACAUAUAACUGCAGUCUCAGUUGAUUGUUCCUAAAACAAAACUGGAUGCUAAUCCUUGUCACCACACCUCCUCCAUGUUUUUAAAAAAAUAGUUUACUUGAAUUUGCUGCUGCCACAUCAGUUCUGUUUAGACUGUCAACAGCUCCUCCAUUCAGAAAUAAUGUGCCAUCAGCUGUUCGGGUGGCAGAGUUCCAUUGAAUGAUGGUCUAUUGCCAGACUAAACCAAUAAAACACAAAUCGCAGCUCAGGAUCAAAGCUACAUAUACUGUAUGUAUACAUUUAAAAAUGAGGACCAAAGAGAUUAACACACAGACACUUGCCCACAUCUGAUUUGUUGUUGAGGCCAGUUAUGCAAUUAUGGUAAUUUCUUGGGGCUUGAGCCUUGAGAAAAGCCCCAAAUAUUAGCAACAGGAUUUGUCAUGGCCAGCAGCUGUGUACAGUAUGUUGGCGUAACAAGACAGAAGGAUCCAAUUAGUGUCAAAGGCGGCAAGCUUUCCAUUGGUCAGCAUGGAGUCCCUUCUGGAUUUACUGCACAGCAGGCUUUAUUCAUGGAAGAAAGACCAUUACAACAGUUUGUGAUCAAAUAUUAAUAUCUAACAGUGCUUGAUGACAUACAGUAUAUUUUAAACUACAUGUAUCUACAGGUGUCAAUCACGCUCACAAGACCUACUCGCUAGCGCCGAGUAUUUUUCACAGAUUUCACAAGUGCCCACUGAUUUUAAAAGCUUCUGCUACCUCAAAACGAUAAUUUAAUAUUGGCAGACUUGAUGUUCUCUGUGAUGGAUUUCACAACUCAAGCAGGUUUCAAGAGUGUGAAUUCAUUUUAAUGCUGCAUGUCAAUGAAUGGAAAGCAGUGAUUGUCUGGAAACAUUAACACACAACAGUAGCAGUAAAGUGAAGUAUACAUGGUUUGUAACAAAUGGGCUAAGACAGCCUGAGUAGGGCUGUUGCAAUAUCGCACUAUUGGCAAGCCAACCGCAGGGUAUGGCAAGCAACCGCUACAAACGCUAUGUUCACGUUUUUUUCUUUUUUGAAUUCUUUGCAAUGGCUUGGUGUUUUUUUUUUUUCGUCGCCGAGUGUUGAAAAAUGUUCAACUUUAGGUAAAACGCUGUGCUCGUUGCUGUCGCUUUUUACCCAGCUGGCCAAUCACAAUGGAGGAGAGGCGGGACAAAAAGACCAACCGUCACGUCCUACAUGUAGGAUACAAGUGCUGAACAACAACAACAAUGGAGGAGAAAUGAAUACACAUAGACCAGCUGGUCCGUCCUUCCUCCUUCCCUUCAUCCAGAGCAAGUACUCUACCUUGUGCCGACAUUUUUACUUUGGCGUAUAUUCCGUAUCAUAGUAACCAGACGCAACCAAAGUAUCUGUCAUGUUAUCACCUGGGCAGUCGAGUAGUUUCCCUGUGUUUCCUCUGUUUCCCUGUCCUUUUGUCUCCUGUGUGUUUUACCCUGUCAGUCUGGUCUGUCUGUCUGGAAGGAGGUGUGGCCAUCUCCUCCUCCCUCUCCUGGGCGGUGGUUGCUGGAGCAGCUGACACUAAUCAUCAAUCAAGACACACUCUGCAGUAUAUCAACCCUGGUCUUCCUGCCAUUCAUCGCCAGAUCGUUAUCGUCGCCACAGUGUGUGGUAUACUUACCUGCCAGCUGCCUCCACUUCCUGCAAUAUCUACCUGCUCACUCUCCAACAUCAUUGCUUCUUCUUGGAUCACAGUGGACUGGAAACAUCAUCUGAAGGAACACUGGAACCCCAUUCCCCAUGCUCCUCGCUCCCUUGAAGACCUUCAGUGUUUAAUCCCAGCCACGUUGGACUCUGAGAAACCUUGCCCUGUCCACCAUUUAAAUUUAUUAUUUAUUAAUAAAUUCUCAUUGUUACAACUUUAAACCUUGACUAGUGUGUGCUGCUUUUGG